CGCCGAUCAAGUCUUCCACAAGCGGAAGGAGUUUCUAGGUCUUUUACUUUUCCACUUCUACCAUAAGCCUGUACGAUUAUUUCUGUCUUCUGCGAUGAUGAUUGUUUUAAAUUCUCGGCGUGACAUCAUUGAGGUGACGCUAACUUUAUGUUCUUUGGGGACCUUGAAGAGAAUAUUAUUUUAGCAGGGUAAAGGGAACCCAAUCAUAGCAAGUGUUUAUUUCUUCGUUAGCUACCUUUUGAUUGGAUCCAGUGGAUUACUAUUUGAUAGAAAGCGCAAGGAUUCCUCCGCUGGUAAAUUUUUGCCAUCAACAAUGUUUGAUUUUUCAGAGACCUAGCUUUUUAGGUUCGAUUAGGUAA